rnacentral:rRNA from 1 species
UGAGGAAUAUUGGUCAAUGGGCGAGAGCCUGAACCAGCCAAGUCGCGUGAAGGAUGACUGUCUUAUGGAUUGUAAACUUCUUUUAUACGGGAAUAACAAGAGCCACGUGUGGCUCCCUGCAUGUACCGUAUGAAUAAGCAUCGGCUAACUCCGUGCCAGCAGCCGCGGUAAUACGGAGGAUGCGAGCGUUAUCCGGAUUUAUUGGGUUUAAAGGGUGCGUAGGCGGCCUGUUAAGUCAGCGGUGAAAUCUAGGAGCUUAACUCCUAAAUUGCCAUUGAUACUGGCGGGCUUGAGUGUAGAUGAGGUAGGCGGAAUGCGUGGUGUAGCGGUGGAAUGCAUAGAUAUCACGCAGAACUCCGAUUGCGAAGGCAGCUUACUAAGGUACAACUGACGCUGAAGCACGAAAGCGUGGGUAUCAAACA